UACGUAGGGUGCGAGCGUUGCCCGGAUUUAUUGGGCGUAAAGGGCGCGUAGGCGGCCUGCUAAGUCGAACGUGAAAUCCCUGGGCUCAACCCAGGAACUGCGUCCGAUACUGGUUGGCUUGAAUCCGGGAGAGGGACGUGGAAUUCCAGGUGUAGCGGUGAAAUGCGUAGAUAUCGGGAGGAACACCAGUGGCGAAGGCGAGUCUCUGGGCUGAUACCGACGCUGAGGCGCGAAAGCCAGGGGAGCAAACGGG
rnacentral:rRNA from 1 species